rnacentral:tRNA from 1 species
AUUUUUUUAGUAUAAAAGUAUAUCUGACUUCCAAUCAGAGGGUCUAAAAUUUUAGAAAAAAUA